UGAGUGGCCACAUUCAACGUACCCUCCUUGGGCUCACGGUCCAGGUUACGUAAUAUCACAAGACGCAGCAAGAUUUAUAGUUGAAGGCCACAAACAGAGGGAUCUCAUGCUAUUUAAACUGGAAGAUGUAGCUGUGGGGAUAUGGAUA